GAUGAAGAACGUAGCGAAAUGCGAUAAGUAAUGUGAAUUGCAGAAUUUAGUGAAUCAUCGAAUGUUUGAACGCACAUUGCGCCCCCUGGUAUUCCGGGGGGCAUGCCUGUCCGAGCGUCAUUACAACCCUCAAGCUCAGCUUGGUAUUGGGCCCCGCCGCUCCGGCGGGCCCUAAAGUCAGUGGCGGUGCCGUCCGGCUCCGAGCGUAGUAAUUCUUCUCGCUCUGGAGGCCCGGUCGUGUGCUCGCCAGCAACCCCCAAUUUUUUUCAGGUUGACCUCGGAUCAGGUAGGGAUACCCGCUGAACUUAAGCAUAUCAAUAAGCGGAGGA
rnacentral:misc_RNA from 1 species